AAUAUCGUAUGCAACCUGACAAUUUUCGUACGUAUCGUGCAUAUUAAAAAAAUUAAAUAGCGUAAAUCGGUCGCGUCCGUGCCGCUAAAACCUGUAUGUUUAAUUGAUAACUUCAGUCCACAUAGUUGCCGCAUGGCUCACGUGAAAAAAGUUGGUGAUUGCGCUUAUUAGUAAAGUGAUUGAUGAAACAAUAGAAUAAGACAAGAUGCGUCAGAGAUAUCAACUAAAGCAGCGACUGUAAGUUUUGUUCCUGUCAACUUUUACGAUAAAAUAGAAUUAUUGCAUUAAUAAAAUAAACAAAAAAUAUAUAAAAUAGCUUAAGACGACUUCUACGAAAAGAAAACAACAAAUUGGAAUGUAGGUUAUUGUUUACUAAUCGUUUUAACAGUCUAUAAACUAAAAAUUAAGAAGGUAUUUAAAGUUUAAUUAAUGAUAUUAACAAAUACAACAACGUCAAGUAAAAGUUAUGAUGGACAUAAAUCUGUAAUCACUAUUUCUGACGUAAACGUAUUUAGUAAGUAUAUACGUAAUAUAUAGAACACCUACAAUUUUGGAAUGCAAUUAAAAUAGAAAAUUAAAAAUAAAUUCAAUA